UCGAGAAUUUUUCACAAUGGGCGCAAGCCUGAUGGAGCGACGCCGCGUGGGGGAUGAAUGGCUUCGGCCCGUAAACCCCUGUCAUUCGCGAUCAAACCUUAUUAUUUAAAAGAUGAUGAGCUGAUAGUAGCGGAAGAGGAAGGGACGGCUAACUCUGUGCCAGCAGCCGCGGUAAUACAGAGGUCCCAAGCGUUGUUCGGAUUCACUGGGCGUAAAGGGUGCGUAGGUGGUGACGUAAGUCGGAUGUGAAAUCUCGGAGCUCAACUCCGAAAUGGCAUUGGAAACUGCGUCGCUGGAGGGUCGGAGGGGGGACUGGAAUUCUCGGUGUAGCAGUGAAAUGCGUAGAUAUCGAGAGGAACACCAGUGGCGAAGGCGAGUCCCUGGACGACUCCUGACACUGAGGCACGAAAGCUAGGGGAGCAAACA
rnacentral:rRNA from 1 species